rnacentral:rRNA from 1 species
GACGAACGCUGGCGGCGUGCUUAACACAUGCAAGUCGAACGGAAAGGCCCUGCUUUUGUGGGGUGCUCGAGUGGCGAACGGGUGAGUAACACGUGAGUAACCUGCCCUUGACUUUGGGAUAACUUCAGGAAACUGGGGCUAAUACCGGAUAGGAGCUCCUGCUGCAUGGUGGGGGUUGGAAAGUUUCGGCGGUUGGGGAUGGACUCGCGGCUUAUCAGCUUGUUGGUGGGGUAGUGGCUUACCAAGGCUUUGACGGGUAGCCGGCCUGAGAGGGUGACCGGCCAAAUGGGGACUGAGUUACGGCCCAGACUCCUACGGGAGGCAGCAGGGGGGAAUAUUGCACAAGGGGCGGAGGCCUGAGGCAGCAACGCCGCGUGCGGGAUGACGGCCUUGGGGUUGUAAACCGCUUCGCCUGUGACGAAGCGUGAGUGACGGUAAUGGGUAAAGAAGCACCGGCUAACUACGUG